rnacentral:rRNA from 1 species
AGUAUCUGUGGAUUAAAGGUGGCUUUUGGGCUGUCGCAGAUGGAUGAGCCUGCGUUGGAUUAGCUAGUUGGUGGAGUAAGGGCCUACCAAGGCUACGAUCCAUAGCUGAUUUGAGAGAAUGAUCAGCCACAUUGGGACUGAGACACGGCCCAAACUCCUACGGGAGGCAGCAGUGAGGAAUAUUGGACAAUGGGGGCAACCCUGAUCCAGCAAWGCCAUGUGUGUGAAGAAGGMMUUAGGGUUGUAAAGCACUUUAGUUGGGGAAGAAAGCUUUGAGGUUAAUAGCCUUGAGGAAGGACGUUACCCAAAGAACCGGCUAACUCCGUGCCAGCAGCCGCGGUAAUACGGGGGGUGCAAGCGUUAAUCGGAAUUACUGGGCGUAAAGGGUCUGUAGGUGGUUUGUUAAGUCAGAUGUGAAAGCCCAAGGCUCAACCUUGGAACUGCAUUUGAUACUGGCAAACUAGAGUACGGUAGAGGAAUGGGGAAUUUCUGGUGUAGCGGUGAAAUGCGUAGAGAUCAGAAGGAACACCAAUGGCGAAGGCAACAUUUUGGACCGAUACUGACACUGAGGGACGAAAGCGUGGGGAUCAAACAGGAUUAGAUACCCUGGUAGUCCACGCUGUAAACGAUGAGUACUAGCUGUUGGAGUCGGUGUAAAGGCUCUAGUGGCGCAGCUAACGCGAUAAGUACUCCGCCUGGGGACUACGGCCGCAAGGCUAAAACUCAAAGGAAUUGACGGGGACCCGCACCAGCGGUGGAGCAUGUGGUUUAAUUCGAUGCAACGCGAAGAACCUUACCUGGUCUUGACAUCCUGCGAUCUUUCUAGAGAUAGAUUGGUGCCUUCGGGAACGCAGUGACAGGUGCUGCACGGCUGUCGUCAGCUCGUGUUGUGAAAUGUUGGGUUAAGUCCCGCAACGAGCGCAACCCCUAUUGAUAGUUACCAUCAAUAAGUUGGGUACUCUAUUGAGACUGCCGCUGACAAGGCGGAGGAAGGUGGGGACGACGUCAAGUCAUCAUGGCCCUUACGACCAGGGCUACACACGUGCUACAAUGGGUAUUACAGAGGGCUGCGAAGGAGCGAUCUGGAGCGAAACUCAAAAAGGUACUCUUAGUCCGGAUUGCAGUCUGSAACUCGACUGCAUGAAGUCGGAAUCGCUAGUAAUCGCAGGUCAGAAUACUGCGGUGAAUACGUUCCCGGGUCUUGUACACACCGCCCGUCACACCAUG